rnacentral:tRNA from 1 species
GAGGGUAUGGCUCAGUGGUAGAGUGCCUGCUUAGUAUGCACAGGCUCCUGGGUUCAAUCCCCAAUCCCUCCA